UAGAUAACUCAUACAAUAUAAAUAUUUUUAGGGACUAUAAUACAUACUGUAUAAUGCAUAAAAGAAUCCAUGUUCUUUAAUCUUAACCCGUAGCUUUUUCUUUUUCAUGAAUUUGGAGACAUUUAUGAGAGUUUGUAAUACUGAUUUCAAGUUGAGAAUAUUUUUAAUAUAGUAGCUUUCUCUUGAAAUUCCUCACUGUUUGACUUUUUGUUCAUUCAUUGAACAGGACAACUUUUCUAUGGGGCAGAUGAAUAUAGUAAAUAUUGUGUGUUAUAACAAUGCAGGGUUAUUGGUUGUUACAAGAGAAUAGAAUUGACAGACACAUCAUGGUGCCUGAUGGCAGCUAGCAUCAGCUCUAAUAUAUGCAGUUUUUGUCUCUUGUCAGGAUUGUUUUGGUAGGCAAACUUUCAGAACUCUUCCAUUAGAGUUCUUCAAAAUUGUUUAGGGUUCUUCUCAAGUUUUGUUCAGAUGUUGAUAAGCUUAUUGACUUUCCCAUGGCAGGUUCUUGGAAUGAGAGAUGUCUCGAAGUAGCCACUUCUUUCUCUUCCCUUCUCCAUUUUCUUCUCUUCUUCCCUCUUUCCCCCUUUUCCUCUCUCUUCGCUUUUCUCCCCUCUUCCCCUUCUCCCUUCUCUCUCUCCUUCCUUCUUCCUCCUACUCCUUUUCCUUCUUUUUAAAGUAAGAUAUGAGGACAUGUUUCACUUUGUCUAGGAAAAUGUUUGCAUUUUCUCUUUCACAUUAAUUUAUGAAUAGAGAGGAGGAAAGUAAAGUAAUAUAAAGCAGAUCGGACCUCUAACUAAAAGACUUGGGUUUAAGCUCCAGUUCUGCCACUAUUUGUGUUUCUUAAUGCUUCAGGCUUAGUUUUUUCAUUUGUAAAAUGAGGAUUGUUAUAAAUAGCCAUCUUAACCUUGGAGGAUUUUGUGAGGAACAAAGAGACACUAUGUGCGAAAAUGAUCUGUUUAACUAUAAAGUGCUUUCUAAGUGUAACCUCUGUGUGUUUUAUGCCUUCUGCUUCUGAGGCUCCAUCAGAGACUCAAAUUAUUACUACCAGAUUAUUGUUUUCCAUCACGACUAUUCAAUAGUACUCUACUGCUCAUCGAAGGUAGAAGUGGAGUGGAACCUUCUAUGUCAGGAAGAAAAGUAAUACAUGCUUAUUAUUACAAACUCUACCUCUUCCGAUUCUGAUCCUGUUCUCCAGUGGUAAACACAAUUCAUUUUUCUUCUCUACCCAAACAUUAAAAGCAGAGGACUUUUGGUUUAUUUAUUUAAAGUGAGAUACUUAGUAAAUAGUAAUCUGCAAUGACAGUAAUAAAUGUCAUUUAUCUUUAUUCUUUGUAAGGUUAUACUGAGGUGGUGAGACUAGAAACAAGUUUUUCCCCCCAAGAGUUGCUUUUAUUACUUAAUACCUAAUAUUUAAUGUUGAAAAUAUAUUCAUACUUGGAAUUUGAGGUUCCACAUGCUUCUUAUGGAUUUUGCCUGCUCUUUUUGUCAGGCAGUGAGAACGAGGACUCUGUAAGAUGUUGGUGGUGGUCCCUCUGAAUUACAGCUGGCAACUCAUCAGAGUCUAGAAGAUGGAGGGAUUAAGCCUCUAGGGUAAAAGAAGGUAGAUUAGG
rnacentral:lncRNA from 1 species